GGGGAUGUAAUGGUUUCGACUGGGAUUUUGAACGGAGAUAAGCGAGCGGAAGCGCAUACCUUCCUUAAAAUGUGCAAUUAAACAUAAACGCUGACUACAAUAGCGAACUCGUAGCCGCCUAAGCGGCUGCCGUCAUACCCGGAGGGACUGCGGGCCGGGAUAUGGCGUGACUCAGCAGUGAACGUGUGUCGGAUUAAGCUUUGCGUCCGGCCAUGAAUCAAUGAAGCUACCUGCCGCUGUCCGUGCGGAUUCGGCCUGCGGUUAGGGAAAGCAAGAAUCCGCUGCGCUCGGAGAAGUUUUCCGGAAUGAGUUUCAGGACAGGGGUUCGAUUCCCCUCAUCUCCACCA
rnacentral:tmRNA from 1 species